UUAGUUUAUUAAGCAACUUAAGAUUGACUGACCAUUUUAGCACACCGUAAACCCACAGUUAAGACAGUGUUAAAUAAACGUCAAAAUGUUGUCGUUAAGCGAAACUGUGUCGUUUUCAAAUGAGAUUUUUUUGGAAGAUUUUUGAUUUUUUUUUUAAAAAAAAUAAAUUAUUUUUAAUUUUAAUUUCCAAAUUAAUUUUAUAAUAUUUUUUAUUUUUUCAAUUUUUUGGAAUUUUAAAGAUCUUUUAAAGUUUUUAAAGAAUUUUUUUAUAUUCAAUCAGUACCAAAUAAAAUUAAAUAUGUUAGUAACUCCAUUGGAACUGCCACUAGCCCAGUAGUAAAAUACCUUGCAAUUUGUCCCAACCAACCUGAGUUCCAAUCUAAGGGUCUACUUCUUUUUAUUUUCAAAUCAUGUAAAACGACAUUGUUUCAGUUAACGCCAUUAAUAAACGACGUCAAACUUUUCUAUUAAAUUUGCUGACGGCGUGCUAAAUUGGCAAGUCAACGAAAACAUUGUUAAUUAAUUCUAAAGUCAAUGAAAGUUUUGUGUUUUUUUUUGUCAGCUCAAAAGUUCAUGUUUCUUUUGGUAAUCCGUGCAAAGUUCGUGCUUUUUUUUGACCGAAUUUUCAUAUAUAUAUCCUGUUUUUAGCACUUAUAUGGUUUUUAGUAAUUUUUAAGGUUUUGGAGUUUGCUAUCUAUAUUUUAAGGUAUUAUAGGUGGUUGGACGCUUUUGGAGACCUAAAUAAACUUUAUAGGGAUUUCAAAAAAAAUUCGUAAGGAUUUGAAGCACUAAGAGAAAAUGGAAACAGAGGAUCGCUUGAUCCCAUUCCAGACCAGAACUGGAUCUAUCGUUUCAUUGAAAACAAACAAAGUGGUCGGCUCAGCAAACCGCAUCGAUCAAUGCAACUUUCUAAUCGAUCGAUUUAAAAUUGCAAACAAAGUAAUAGAUCGAUGCAACAUCCCAAUUGAUCGAUUGGACGAGCACAAGACGAAAAAAUCUGUCAGGAAAAAAUGCAUUGGUCGAUUGAAAAAUCUGAUCGAUCAAUAGGACCCGCACGAGCAGAGGUGAAAUUUUCCUUUUCCUGUUUUGGUUUUUCCUUUUUCCCAAAAGUAUCCACUGUCUUUAAAUACCCUUUGUGUUCAAACAAGUAAAGGUUAGGAAGUAACCCUCUUUUGUCGUUCAUAUGGAUGUAGAUUACCUGGUUUGGUUUGCAGAGUCAGUAUAAUUCUGUAUACGCUGAUGACAAAAAAAAAAGUGAAGGUUCAUAAGGUUAUCGAAGGAGAUUGGGAAAUCUGAGGAGGUGAACUUCACAAAGCACAGUAACUUGUUGCUGACUCAAAGCAGGCCUGGGCAUCCGGGUCUUCGGGUCGGGUUCGGAUCGGGCCUUGUCGGGUCCGGGUCUUUUGGGUCCUAGCAAUUUAGAUCCAUAUAGGUACCUAUAAUUUUCCGGAUCGGUUCUGGGGCGGAUCUUGUCGGGUCCGGGUCGAUUUGGAUCUAUAAUUUCAAUACCCGUAAAAUACCUAAAAUUUUCGGGCAUAUUUCGGAUCCGGGUCGGUUCGGGUAUUUAGGACCCGAAAUACCCGAACUUGACCCGAAAACUCUAAAAAUACUCGAAGAACCGCAAAAAUACCCAAAACUUUAUCCAAAAUCAAACCCGAAAACCCAAAACAUACACGGAUUUUACUCGAAUACCCGAAUUAUAUUUUCUAAAAAUCUAAAAUUUUACCCGAAACCUACAAUCAUACUUGAAAAUCCAUAAACUUUAAAAAAAUACGAAAUACCAAAAAUAUACCCAAUCACCCAUAUAUACCUAGUAUAUAAAAUUAUUUGCGGGUACUUCGGGUACCCGAACGGGUCUCGAGUAGGACCCGGACCCUAAUCGAGACCCGCGGGUCCAAAAAAAAAAAGACCCAAUAGGUACUUGGCAUGGACAUGGACCCGGACCCGAACCUGUAUUUUCGGGUUGGUUCCGGUUCGGGUCUUCGGGUCUAGGUAAAAUGCCCAGGCCUAACUCAAAGUUCUUUGUUUACUUUCCACACAUGGUAUUGGAUUCGUCUUCACAUUGAUACUUGUUUUAAGGUAUAUCCCUGAAGAAGACUUUGAAAAAGAAGGUUAAUGAUCAUGGCUAUUCUGUAUCUCCAUCCUCUUCAGCUCUCUGUGGCAGUGACUGCAGUUGUGGGUGGGUGUAUUAUGUUUGCAGAGUUCCAUUUGCUUGAUCCAAAGUUCAACAUAGUCUCACCUGAGCAGACAUGACUAUCUGUUUCCCUUUUACUGAUGAAACCAAGAGACUUACAGCUUUACAUGGUUCCAUAGAAGAGAUGCUAUAUAGCCCUUAGCAAACUAAUGAGCAUGUGUCGAAGCCAAUACUCUUCUCUAUGGCGAGGCUGGACAAAGUGAAGAACAUCUCGAGUUUAGAUUUUUUUUUUUGAUAAAUGUACAUCUCAGGUUUCGUGGGUGCAAUGCUUUCUUUCUUAGCCAUCUCUGCUCAUACUCUUUUUAAGUUGUUAUAAAUUAAUACUGGUGGUUAGAAAUGUGAGUACUGGUCUAUGGUUUUUAUGUUUACAGUGAAGCUAACUUGUUGCAAUGUUUUCUUGUUCAAGGUUGGGGCCAAGGAUCAACAGAUAAUUCAAGCAUCAUAUGCUACCAUUCUUAAGGCCCAUGUGACUGCUUUAAAGAAGAGAGAGAGGAAAUGAAGAAAUUAACAGAGGCAGAGAAGAAAGAAAGCUCUUCAACCACUACUAAACCCAAGAAACUUUAAUGUUCACCUUUUAUGUUGCUUAGAAACUGAAUUUUUAAAAGAUAUUGAAAUUCAAGACUGAUUUUAAACCCUGAAGAUGAACCAAUGAAAAACCUCUAUUGUGAUUAUGAUCACUAGACUUUGAGUCGACAUAAGUUGAUAGUAUAUAAACUAGUAUAUGUAUCAAAUUAGUGUGAAUCUUAUGUAGUCUAGUGGCUUGCGUGAGUAGUUUUUUUUAUUUUAAUAACUCGGGUUCGAGCGAAGAAAAUAGCAAUUUUGAUUAUUUUUGAUAUGGGAAGGAAGAUUUAGGGUAGAGUAUAUUUAGAAAAUAUAUUAACCGUAAUAGUGAAAGUUUCAGUAUUUUCAUGAUUUGCUAUAAUAUGUAUCCUACUCUGUAUUGUUAACUGUUGAUUAAUAUUUUAUUUUCAUUUUUAAAUUAUUUUAAGUUGUCCUAUGAUUUAUCCUCUAUACACUAAAGCGCAAGUCGGCGAAUGAAAUACUGACAUGUGGAAAAUAAUUUUCUAAUAAAAUAAUUGAUUAAAAAUAUUUUUUUUCAUCCCUAACUUUCAGCAACAUCAUCCUAACUUUUCUUAAAUAUCGCAUUCACGUUCAGUGUUAAUUUAUCACGAUUUAAAAACAGUUUUUUUUCUUAUAUAAAGUUUAAUCUACUAAUUUACUUUCUGCUUUCUUUCCAAAUUUAUUUUAUCAUCUCCAUUAUCAAUUUUGAUCUCUACGAUUUCUCAUAUAUUCUUCUGCAGCAAUUCAAAACUUCUUUUAUUUAUGGCAUGAAUUAAUACUGCAAAAUACAUUAUCAACAAAAUAUAAAAUAGAUACAGUGGAAUUAUGGGAAGCGGCUGAUACUUGUACUUUGAUUUUUAAGAGUUUUGAUUUUGAAUGAUUUCAGUAUAGCUACUUUAGAAGUUUUCUCUAUAUGUUGAUUUACGGAUCCGGAGUUAACGGUUUGGAAAGAUGGGAUGGAGCAGAAAGCAAAAUUAUUCUCGUGGAAAUCCCAUAACUACACUCACAUGCAGAAAAUUUGCAGUCAUGUCAAAAGGACAAGAAUCAGGUUUUGGCCUUGCAAAAAAGGUUUGCAUGUGUUCCACUCUUAAAUAUUUUCUUUGAUUUGUUAAUUAAUGUUUCUUUUGCUAUAUCAAUUAUUUUUCAGUAUUCACCACAGCAAUUGAGUUCAGCCACAAAACUAUUGCUGGACGUAACAUGGAACUUGCAUUUCUGAAUCCAAAAGUGUUUACUUUAAUUUUUUUGUAUUUGGAAUUUAAUUAAUUAUCGUUGGACAAUUCAUUAUAGCUUAAUAAAAAUCAAACAAAAGUUGUAAAUUUUAGUUUUAUAAAUUCAACAAACAAUUUUUUUU